rnacentral:misc_RNA from 1 species
CAUCACCAUCACCCUGCCUGUUUCU